CCCUUAGACGUUCUGGGCCGCACGCGCGCUACACUGACCAGUGCAACAAGCAUCCGUCCUUGGCCGACAGGCCCGGGCAAUCUUUGAACGCUGGUCGUGAUGGGGAUAGACUUUUGCAAUUUUUGGUCUUCAACGAGGAAUUCCUAGUAAACGCAAGUCAUCAACUUGCAUUGAUUACGUCCCUGCCCCUUGUACACACCGCCCGUCGCACCUACCGAUUGAAUGGUCCGGUGAAGCCUCCGGAUUGGCGCGCACCUCGGUGCCGCCGAGAAGUUGGCUAAACCUUACCAUUUAGAGGAAGGUGAAGUCGUAACA
rnacentral:rRNA from 1 species